ensembl:lncRNA
AUUGUCCCCAUCUUUUCCACAAACCCCAGAGAGGGAUUUUGCAGUUUGCUGUUCCUGCUUUGAGCUUUUCCUGGCAGCACCUGCGGCUUCCAGCGCGCAGCGUCAUCCAUUCCUCUUUGCUGAAAGGAACCCUCAGCUUCUGUGGGGCACCCCAAGAGCACCUGAAGCUCAAGGGAAGUGGCCCCAGUGCUUGCUGUGUGUGGCCCCACGCUGCCCAGGCCUCCUCCUCUCCCCACAGGACACAAAGUGACCCCGGUGGGUUCGUGCAGGCGUCGCCUCUGGGGCCGGGCAGCGGAUGUUGGGGUUGGUGAUUCACAGGGGACAGGAAACCAGAAGUGCAACGAGCCCUGCAGGAGCCAGCUCCAGCCCCGGCAGCUGGAGCAGCUGGAGCAGCUGGAGCAGCUGGGACACCCCAGGGACAGCGGCUGAGCCGGGCUGAGGCUGGAUUUGGCAGGGCCAUGCUGCAGCUGGAGCUGUGGGCGGCCGUGGCGCUGAUGCUGCUCGGGGCGGCCGUCAGCCUCUGCAUCAGGUGCCAGCACUCAGGUACCAAACGGGACGCGCAGCUGAACGAGCGGAGGAGCCAGCUCGAGAGCCAGCAGAGGUUUGAGGUGGUUCGAUCCCACACCAUUGCAACCCGAAGGCUGGAAAAAAGUAAGGGACCUGAAGACUUAUCAACAACAAGUAAAGCCACCGAGGAGCUCAGUGCUUCCCAUCACCCUGGAUAUGGUGAGCAGCUUCUUGGGACAGGCGCAGAUACAAUGAACCACAGAGCUGUUGGAGGUGGAAGGGACCUUAAAAUCAUCUCCUUCCACCCCUUGCCAUGGGCAGGGACACCUUCCAUUAGACCAGGGUGCUCCAAGCCCUGUCCAGCCUGGUCUUGGAUGGUUAAAGGGAUAGGGCAGCUACAGCUGCUCUGGGCACUCUGUGCCAGGGCCUCACUGCCCUCACAGGGAAAAACUUCUUCCUAAAAUCCCACCUAACCCUGUCCUCUGCCAGUGGGAAGCCAUUCCCCCUUAUCCUGCUACUCCCAGCCCUUGUCCAAAGUCUCUCUUCCCUUUAGAAAGUGCUCCAAGCUCUCCCCAGAGCCUUUUCCAGGCUGAGCAUUCCCAGCUUUCCCAGGCUGUCUCCAGAGCAGAAGGCUCAGCCCUUGGAGCACCUUUGUGCACUCCUCUGGACUUGCUCCACAUCCAUCUGAAUUUGGGUCUGAGUUUAAAGCCCAGUGCUCAUCCUGCUGUGUCUGACCAGCCCUGGUUACAGCCACAGGCACAGAUUGUUUAAAACAUCACCCUGGCUGUCCCAGCUCCUGUACCCUGGAGUGUCCAACCUUGCAUUCGUGUCCCCUGACCUCAGAGCUGAGCAGGGGUAGAGCUGCUGCUGCUGAAAUACUGAAAUACUUGGUGCCUCCAUUGUCAAACUGCUGCCAUCACUCAGCUUGAGUUCAUGUGUAAUGUGCCCCUCUCUUGUCCCCAGGCAGCAGGGACGAGCCCAGGUACCAGAAUUUCCUGGCAGGUAAAUGCUGCAGCCACGCCUGGGGGGCUGGGAAGGAAGGCUGGAGGGGAUGGGGGCUGGCAGGGAG